rnacentral:rRNA from 1 species
UACAGAGGGUGCGAGCGUUGUUCGGAAUUAUUGGGCGUAAAGCGCUGGUAGGUGGCUCGGAAAGUCGCGUGUGAAAGCUUCCGGCUCAACCGGAAAAGUGCGCGCGAAACUGACGAGCUUGAGUGCCGGAGAGGGUCGCGGAAUUCCCGGUGUAGAGGUGAAAUUCGUAGAUAUCGGGAGGAACACCAGAGGCGAAGGCGGCGACCUGGAAGGUAACUGACACUGAGCAGCGAAAGCGUGGGUAGCAAACAGG